UAUGUGUUUUACAUUAGAUUGUGUUGUUUCAUUAGUUCACAUUCUCUCUGUUCUUGUUGUUUCUCCUAAUCUUGCUUGCUGUUUUGAACUUGUGUAUAUUCUUAGUUUGUUAAUUUUCACUAUCUUUAUAAGAAAUUUAACCAAAAGAUCUUAGUUAAACUAGAUUUUUUAUAUUUAGAUUUGAUUUAUACAUGUCUCUAAUGUUUUUUGCAGCCACAUGUUGACUUUGGAUUAAAAGUACUUGGUGCAAAUGCUAUGUCCAUUCCUGGCCUAUAUGGGAAAUGAUUAAAGAUCAAGUUGCAAACAUGUAUUUAUGGCUCAAAUCUCUAGAAGUACAAAGUAUGGAUCCAACAAAGUAACGAUCUGAGCCCAAGGUAAGGCAUCUAGGACACUUAGCUGGUGGUGCUUUAACAAAUGCAUUGGGUGCUGGAAGAAAAUGGUAAGCAAUAUAAAUCAAUUAGUGAAGGGUUCAACUCUGUUUAUUUUAGUCUAAACAAUUAUUGUUCCAAUGUUGAAGAGUCAUGCCAAUUCAACAACAUUAUGGGAAAGAAUCUGCAGGCAUAAGAAACCUGUUGUAGAACCUAGACAAUCUUCUUUAUUUUCUGAGUCACUUGAG